rnacentral:rRNA from 1 species
UACGUAGGUGGCAAGCGUUGUCCGGAUUUAUUGGGUUUAAAGGGCGCGUAGGUGGCCCGGUCAGCGUGCGGUGAAAGCUCGGGGCUCAACCCCGAGUCGGCCGUGCGAACUGCUGGGCUUGAGCACUGUAGAGGCAGGCGGAAUUCCGGGUGUAGCGGUGGAAUGCGUAGAGAUCCGGAAGAACACCGGUGGCGAAGGCGACAUCCUGGACCGGUAUUGACGCUGAGGCGCGAAAGCCAGGGGAGCAAACGGG